rnacentral:rRNA from 1 species
GUCGAGCGGUAGAGAGAAGCUUGCUUCUCUUGAGAGCGGCGGACGCCUGUGUAAUGCCUAGGAAUCUGCCUGGUAGUGGGGGAUAACGUUCGUAAACGGACGCUAAUACCGCAUACGUCCUACGGGAGAAAGCAGGGGACCUUCGGGCCUUGCGCUAUCAGAUGAGCCUAGGUCGGAUUAGCUAGUUGGUGAGGUAAUGGCUCACCAAGGCGACGAUCCGUAACUGGUCUGAGAGGAUGAUCAGUCACACUGGAACUGAGACACGGUCCAGACUCCUACGGGAGGCAGCAGUGGGGAAUAUUGGACAAUGGGCGAAAGCCUGAUCCAGCCAUGCCGCGUGUGUGAAGAAGGUCUUCGGAUUGUAAAGCACUUUAAGUUGGGAGGAAGGGUUGUAGAUUAAUACUCUGCAAUUUUGACGUUACCGACAGAAUAAGCACCGGCUAACUCUGUGCCAGCAGCCGCGGUAAUACAGAGGGUGCAAGCGUUAAUCGGAAUUACUGGGCGUAAAGCGCGCGUAGGUGGUUUGUUAAGUUGGAUGUGAAAUCCCCGGGCUCAACCUGGGAACUGCAUUCAAAACUGACUGACUAGAGUAUGGUAGAGGGUGGUGGAAUUUCCUGUGUAGCGGUGAAAUGCGUAGAUAUAGGAAGGAACACCAGUGGCGAAGGCGACCACCUGGACUAAUACUGACACUGAGGUGCGAAAGCGUGGGGAGCAAACAGGAUUAGAUACCCUGGUAGUCCACGCCGUAAACGAGGUCAACUAGCC